GUACACGCUGUGACUAGCAUAUCAAUAAGCGGAGGAAAAGAAACUAACAAGGAUUCCCCUAGUAACGGCGAGUGAAGCGGGAAGAGCUCAAAUUUGAAAUCUUAAAGGGUUUCCCUUUACGAAUUGUAGUUUAAAGAAGUGUUUUCUGUUGAGGUUUUGGUAAAAGUUCUUUGGAAUAGGACAUCAUAGAGGGUGAGAAUCCCGUAUUUGACCUUUACUUUCAACUUUGUGAUACACUUUCAAAGAGUCGGAUUGUUUGGGAAUGCAGUCCAAAAUGGGUGGUAAAUUUCAUCUAAAGCUGAAUAUUGGCGAGAGACCGAUAGCGAACAAGUACCGUGAGGGAAAGAUGAAAAGAACUUUGAAAAGAGAGUUAAACAGUACGUGAAAUUGUCAAAAGGGAAGCGCUUGACACCAGUGUUGUUUUUCUGAAAAUCAAUUAAAGAACUGUUUAUGCUAAGUUGUUUAGACUUUAUCAGCUAACUGUUUAGUUUUGAGCUUUUCUUUAAUGCACUUUUCAGUUAACAAGUCAACAGUCAAUUUCUUUUGCUGUAAAAAAGCUUGAUGGAAGGUGGCUUGAGAUUCGUCUUAAGUGUUUAUAGCCUCUUGCCUAUGCAGUCGGAGAGAUUGAGGUCUGCAGCGUAGAUCCUUCGGGGCUAAAUGCAUUUGUGCUAAGCUAUAGCAUUUUAUAGACAACUUGUUGACUAUGAUUUGUCUUGUAGCUUACUCGCUUAUGUUAUUUUACCUACGCUUAGGAUGUUGAGUCGUAGAGCACGCAG
rnacentral:rRNA from 1 species